GAAUAUGAGUUCAACAGUUAGAGCACAUUUUUUGUUGUGUAUUUACUAUUCAGACAUUUUUAAAAUUUGAGGGUAUGAUUCAUAUAGACUUCCAAAACUCUGGCAUGUAUACAAGACUAUUACCAUUCUCCAAGUUCAAUAAAUAUUUUAAACAUGGAAUGAGGGUGAUGAUAUUGGUAGAGAACUUGUCAGGCUGGAUCGAUAACAUUGGAUUGACAGAUCUCUUAGCUUUAAAAAGUAUUAAACAGUUUUGUUCUAGUUAAAUAAGGUGAUGUGGUCAAUUUAGAGAUUGUUGCUUGGGUAGGAUAUACAUGCUUGGCAAUAUCACCACCCUAACAAAUAACAACAGUAAUAAGAGACGGCCUUUGUGCCUCAAGCUAUUUAAGAAUUCUCGGUACGAAUUAUUUUUGUGUAGCAUCCCAAAAAGUCAUCACCCAGUAGACAGUAUUCAGAAGUCAAAUGGUGCAUGUCAUGCCAACAUUCAUGACUUUCUAGCUAGUAAGGA
rnacentral:misc_RNA from 1 species